GUCGGGAAUUUUGGGCAAUGGGGGAAACCCUGACCCAGCAACGCCGCGUGAGGGAUGAAGGCCUUCGGGUCGUAAACCUCUGUCGAGAGGGAAGAAUGAUCUCUGGUCGAACAGGCCAGGGGUUUGACGGUACCUCCAAAGGAAGCACCGGCUAACUCCGUGCCAGCAGCCGCGGUAAUACGGAGGGUGCAAGCGUUGUUCGGAAUUACUGGGCGUAAAGCGCGUGUAGGCGGCUUGGCAAGUCGGGUGUGAAAUCCCGGGGCUCAACCCCGGAACUGCAUUCGAAACUGCCUGGCUGGAGUCCCGGAGAGGGUGGUGGAAUUCCCAGUGUAGAGGUGAAAUUCGUAGAUAUUGGGAGGAACACCAGUGGCGAAGGCGGCCACCUGGACGGUGACUGACGCUGAGACGCGAAAGCGUGGGGAGCAAACAGGAUUAGAUACCCCAGUAGUCC
rnacentral:rRNA from 1 species